GUAGAGGGGAGUGGACCACAUUAUUAAUAUGAUGACAUAUGCCACGAUCUGGUUGGUCAGACAAGGUUUAAAUUGAUUUGCAAUCUUAGAAUGCAUUCUCUCAAACCGUAGCUCCGUUUUUUAUUCCAUUUGAACCAUCGUGUUUUUAGAAUUAAUGCAUGAGAUCCGGUAUAACUAUUUUUGUUGUAUUUUUUAAGUUAACAUUUUAGAUGAACUAUCUCAACAUUCUUUAACGUAAAAAAAGUUGGUGAAUGUUAAAAUAAUUUUGAGAAAAAAAUGUUGGUGAAUGCAAAAAAAAAAAUUGAUGUGUGUAAAAAAUUGUUGAGAAAUAAUAUUAGUGAAUGUAAAAAAAUGUAAAAGGAAAAUAUUCUUACAUACAAAAAAUAUUGGUUAUACAUUCCCUUGCAACCCAGCUAGAUGUUGGGUGAAUCGGGUUUUAGCUCCACUUCCCGUACUAGAUGUACAAUAAGCACAACUCUAUCCAUUGACUUAAUACUUAUCACCCUUCAUGUAUCCUCAAUAGGUCCUCGCAGCUUUCUCUGAGCUCAUGCAAUCCAAAAUAUUUAAUGUUAACAUUCACCCAUACAAUAUGCUGGUUCAUCAAUAUUAUGCAUAGCUAACAGAAAAUCUGAGCCUUUAUCUCAUUUAUAAAAAGCAUAAGUCUGAAUAAUUUAGUUAGAAAAUUAUAUGCAUUGCUCAUAGCAAUAUGCAUUCAUUAGUAAUGAUAGAGAAUUUAAGCAGUGUUGGUUCACCAGUCCAAUAGAGGGUAAAAGGCUCACCAAAUUUACUAAUCACUAUGUUGCUGGCUCCACUAGCCGCCACCGUCACGUACCUCCUUCUCCUUCCCCUUAUUUCGAUGCCCCCUCUCCAUGAUAAUGCAGAAUAGCAGGUUCACUAGGUAAAGCUGGCCACAUAUAAGAAUAAGAACCUGUUAUCUGGAAAAAGUAUAAGUUAGCGAACACUUUAGAGUAGCUACAAUGCAUCGAUCUAAAUGAAAAACAGAAUAGACACCCCCCAGCAACAAAAUUAAUAGCAGAUGCUUUUGUUUAGUCUACAUAACAAUAGCUAAAGAAAAAAAAACUAUACUCUUCUAUAGAUGAACAAAUUUCAUGGCAAGAAAAAAUCCUAACAUCCAACAAAUCAUAUGAGAUGAGCAACAAUUUCCCUGAAACACCGUAAUGGAUAACCUGACAAUCUGAGACUAAACACUACACUACAUAUCUAAAUCACAG
rnacentral:lncRNA from 1 species